rnacentral:rRNA from 1 species
AGCAUGUGUGUUAGUGGAAGCGUCUGGAAAGGCGCGCGAUACAGGGUGACAGCCCCGUACACAAAAGCGCAUGUGCUGUGAGCUCGAUGAGUAGGGCGGGACACGUGAUAUCCUGUCUGAAUAUGGGGGGACCAUCCUCCAAGGCUAAAUACUCCUGACUGACCGAUAGUGAACCAGUACCGUGAGGGAAAGGCGAAAAGAACCCCGGCGAGGGGAGUGAAAAAGAACCUGAAACCGUGUACGUACAAGCAGUGGGAGCACCCUUCGGGGUGUGACUGCGUACCUUUUGUAUAAUGGGUCAGCGACUUAUAUUCUGUAGCAAGGUUAACCGAAUAGGGGAGCCGGAGGGAAACCGAGUCUUAACCGGGCGUUAAGUUGCAGGGUAUAGACCCGAAACCCGGUGAUCUAGCCAUGGGCAGGUUGAAGGUUGGGUAACACUAACUGGAGGACCGAACCGACUAAUGUUGAAAAAUUAGCGGAUGACCUGUGGCUGGGGGUGAAAGGCCAAUCAAACCGGGAGAUAGCUGGUUCUCCCCGAAAGCUAUUUAGGUAGCGCCUCGUGAAUUCAUCUCCGGGGGUAGAGCACUGUUUCGGCUAGGGGGCCAUCCCGGCUUACCAACCCGAUGCAAACUGCGAAUACCGGAGAAUGUUAUCACGGGAGACACACGGCGGGUGCUAACGUCCGUCGUGAAGAGGGAAACAACCCAGACCGCCAGCUAAGGUCCCAAAGUCAUGGUUAAGUGGGAAACGAUGUGGGAAGGCCCAGACAGCCAGGAUGUUGGCUUAGAAGCAGCCAUCAUUUAAAGAAAGCGUAAUAGCUCACUGGUCGAGUCGGCCUGCGCGGAAGAUGUAACGGGGCUAAACCAU